rnacentral:rRNA from 1 species
AGUGAACGCUGGCGGUAGGCCUAACACAUGCAAGUCGAACGGCAGCACAGGAGAGCUUGCUCUCUGGGUGGCGAGUGGCGGACGGGUGAGGAAUACAUCGGAACCUACUUUUUCAUGGGGGAUAACGUAGGGAAACUUACGCUAAUACCGCAUACGACCUACGGGUGAAAGCAGGGGACCUUCGGGCCUUGCGCGAUUGAAUGAGCCGAUGUCGGAUUAGCUAGUUGGCGGGGUAAAGGCCCACCAAGGCGACGAUCCGUAGCUGGUCUGAGAGGAUGAUCAGCCACACUGGAACUGAGACACGGUACAGACUCCUACGGGAGGCAGCAGUGGGGAAUAUUGGACAAUGGGCGCAAGCCUGAUCCAGCCAUACCGCGUGGGUGAAGAAGGCCUUCGGGUUGUAAAGCCCUUUUGUUGGGAAAGAAAUCCAGCCGGCUAAUACCUGGUUGGGAUGACGGUACCCAAAGAAUAAGCACCGGCUAACUUCGUGCCAGCCGCCGCCGUAA